rnacentral:rRNA from 1 species
AUUGAACGCUGGCGGUAUGCUUAACACAUGCAAGUCGGACGGCAGCGGGCCCUUCGGGGCGCCGGCGAGUGGCGGACGGGUGAGUAACGCAUAGGAAUCUGCCCGGUAGUGGGGGACAACUUAGGGAAACUUAAGCUAAUACCGCAUACGCCCUUAGGGGGAAAGCGGGGGACCGUAAGGCCUCGCGCUAUCGGAUGAGCCUAUGCCGGAUUAGCUGGUUGGCGGGGUAAAGGCCCACCAAGGCGACGAUCCGUAGCUGGUCUGAGAGGAUGGCCAGCCACACUGGGACUGAGACACGGCCCAGACUCCUACGGGAGGCAGCAGUGGGGAAUAUUGGACAAUGGGGGGAACCCUGAUCCAGCAAUACCGCGUGUGUGAAGAAGGCCUGAGGGUUGUAAAGCACUUUCAGCGGGGAGGAAAAAGGGCGGGUUAACACCCUGCCUGUUGACAUUACCCGCAGAAGAAGCACCGGCUAACUCCGUGCCAGCCGCCGCGGUAACAC